rnacentral:rRNA from 1 species
UACGUAGGUGGCAAGCGAUACUCGGAAUCACUAGGCGUAAAGCGCAGGUAGGAGGUUUGGUAAGUCUGUUGUGAAAGCUCCCGGCUUAACUGGGAGAGGUCAACGGAAACUACCAGGCUAGAGUGCGGUAGAGGUAGCUGGAAUUCCCGGUGUAGCGGUGAAAUGCGUAGAUAUCGAGAGAAACAUCUGUGGCGAAGGCGGCCUUCUGGACGGUGACUGACGCUGAGACGCGAAAGCGUGGGGAGCAAACAGG